UACGAAGGGUGCAAACGUUGCUCGGAAUUAUUGGGCGUAAAGCGCACGUAGGCGGCAUUGCAAGUCGGAUGCGAAAUCCCUCGGCUUAACCAAGGAAGUGCAUCCGAAACUGCAGUGCUUGAGUACUUAAGAGGAUCGCGGAAUUCCCGGUGUAGAGGUGAAAUUCGUAGAUAUCGGGAGGAACACCAGUGGCGAAGGCGGCGAUCUGGGAAGAUACUGACGCUGAGGUGCGAAAGCGUGGGGAGCAAACAGG
rnacentral:rRNA from 1 species